rnacentral:rRNA from 1 species
UACGUAUGGUGCGAGCGUUUAUCGGAAUUACUGGGCGUAAAGCGUGCGCAAGCGGCUUUGCAAGACAGAUGUGAAAUCCCCGUGCUCAACCUGGGAACUGCAUUUGUGACUGCAAGGCUAGAGUACGGCAGAGGGGGAUGGAAUUCCGCGUGUAGCAGUGAAAUGCGUAGAUAUGCGGAGGAACACCAAUGGCGAAGGCAAUCCCCUGGGCCUGUACUGACGCUCAUGUACGAAAGCGUGGGGAGCAAACAGG